UCAAAUGCAGUUACAGUACUCGAUAUGUGGGCGGUUCUUCACUUAAACAAAGUUGAUCCAUGGUAAAAUGAAGGUAGCGCGAGCAGCAAGGACAAUAAGCACUUGUGAUGUACACCUUUUCGUCUUAAUUGUUUGCUGCACUGCCUUCAUUUCAUCACAAAAGUGCACUAUAUGUUUCUCAACAUUGUUGGUGAAUGUGAACCGCGGCUGAAGCUUCUGUGAUAGCAGUGACCUGUUGCCAAGGGACCCUGAUCAAAAGAUUGGGAGCAAGUGUCAUCCCGGAUACUGAUGACAAUAUAAGCACAAUACGAGAAACAAAGCUGCCGCCACUUGCUGCAUACACUAAACUUCCCUUAUUGCUAAUCAACCCACCUGAGUUUUAAGUGAAACAGAAGAGAAACUAAAACUUUGAAUGAAGAAGUAACUUUGCUGCUCAAAGAUAAAGUUAAUUCGAGGGAUCAGCCCAUGGCAAAUCUUUAAGGGGCGCAAAUGUGCUCAUCCGGCUCCAUCCAAGUCUAUCUGAAUCAUUAGAAAAUUUUCUGCUGUAUGAUGGGAUGCUGAUAAGUAUUUAGCACUACCUAGAAAAAAUUUAACAAGGUAGCUAGUUAUAAAAUUCCCGGGUGUAUUGGCUAGUUUGUCAGUAUUCUAUGGUGGAAAAAUCAGCUGGCUAUGUUUUAAGCUUGCAUUUUUUUUUUUUAAUUGUAAAGUGGUUAUGGCAGCAUCUCCAGAAAAGUUCAGCGUGGAAGAAAAUAGGACAAUGGGAUGACAGUGAGUGUUUGACGACCGGAUGGCAAAGCUAGGUUACGACGAAGCUGUUAGACAACUUAUGCCAUUGAGUCAGUGUAGAAGACGUGAUGACGAUGGCAUGACGAGUCAAAUCACGAAGCUGGAGUGACGAUGAUGGAACGACCACAAUAGAUAGAUGGAUAGGCUCAAAACGGCUGAAGCAGGCAAAGAAUGCUAAUCACAUUAAAAACUGUCAUGUAAGUACUAUAACUGUCCAUGCUGGCCGUCAGAAACACACGCAUGCAAACUUCUAAAAUAUAAAAGGAAAAUUUUACCGAAGCAUGCCCUUUGUAACAGGGUCGUAUAUGUAACGAGAAAUUAUAAACUUUAUCGUCAGCCAUUCAUAGCAGUAUAAGCUGGUUCUUUAUUCUAUGUAGCAGCAGGCAGCGACACAUAUGCAUGCACAUAUAUGCUACCAUUGCACCCACCCACUGCAGAUGUGUUGUGUGCAAGUGCAGAAGGAUACACUGAUGGGCAAGUUGGUAUGACAUCGUGUGCAGUGUAGUUAGUGCAAGCAGAACCCACAAGGCAACAUACAAGCACUGUGUCCCCGUCUUUUCUGUUGCCUUGUGUGUUCUGUUUGCGCUACGCUGUACAUGGGGCAGAAGCAACAUGCUGCGCAGUUGAGGUUGCAGAGUAAAAACUUAACCUCUAGCAAAUGAGAGAAGUUAAGCGCGAUCGAGUAGCAGAAAUGGUGGCGGAACGACAUGAGGCUCGCUUGGCACGGAGGUGUGAAGCUUGGAAACGGCAAAUAUCGGUGGUUCCUCUGGAACAGUGACAGGCUGCAUUGGAAGAAAAUCGAGAAGAGGAACACCGGUGAAUAUCUAAGCCAGGUUCUAUCGGAGCAAUUGUAAAAGGGAGCAAUCGCAUGCAAGUUGAAUGGCAAAAUGAAUGAGUUGUAAGUACAGCAGUGAGACAAGUAAAUAUACAUACCGUAUAUCGCGUCAUAAGUGCAUAUGUGAUAUGCAUGGCUUGUGUGAUGAACACACCGAGGUGAAGACAAGCUGCUGUCGAGACUUGGAAGAAAGUGCUAGUGAAGCAUAAACACACACACGCGCAAAACUGCACUUUUAAAUCAUGAUAAAGCCCAUCUAAAGGGAUCCCAAAACAAUUUUAAGCUUGUGUUCGAAUACACAGAGUUGGUAAGGUUGGUCUUCAAAAAGUGUCUAACAACAUCUGCAUUGCUACAGAUUGUAGUGGCUCUGCUCCCUGUGUUUUUCACACAUCUCUGCCCGUUCUGUGUAGAACGGGGCGAAUGAUGUCACUCUGGUGAGCAGUAUGAUUGGCUUACCACUUGAUGUCAUUGGAAAUACAUGAAGCAUGCCGCUUCAAUAACUCUGGCCCGCAUGGUUCAUGUGCACAUAGUAUUUUGGGCAUCUGUCAAUAUAAGUACACAUGCAAUAAAGUUUCUAUUUCUUCAAA